rnacentral:rRNA from 1 species
ACGGAAGGCAGCAGUGGGGAAUAUUGGGCAAUGGGCGAAAGCCUGACCCAGCAACGCCGCGUGAAGGAAGAAGGUUUUCGGAUUGUAAACUUCUUUUAUCAGGGACGAAGAAAGUGACGGUACCUGAUGAAUAAGCCACGGCUAACUACGUGCCAGCAGCCGCGGUAAUACGUAGGUGGCAAGCGUUAUCCGGAUUUACUGGGUGUAAAGGGCGCGUAGGCGGGGAUGCAAGUCAGAUGUGAAAUCUAUGGGCUUAACCCAUAAACUGCAUUUGAAACUGUAUCUCUUGAGUGUCGGAGAGGUAGACGGAAUUCCUAGUGUAGCGGUGAAAUGCGUAGAUAUUAGGAGGAACACCAGUGGCGAAGGCGGUCUACUGGACGGUAACUGACGUUGAGGCUCGAAAGCGUGGGGAGCAAGCAGGAUUAGAUACCCUGGUA